rnacentral:rRNA from 1 species
UGGUGGAGUGAUUUGUCUGGUUAAUUCCGUUAACGAACGAGACCUCGACCUGCUAAAUAGUUUGGCGAACCCUUCGGGGUUCGUACACGACUUCUUAGAGGGACUAUCGGUGUGUAGCCGAUGGAAGUUCGAGGCAAUAACA